rnacentral:rRNA from 1 species
AACGAACGCUGGCGGCAGGCCUAACACAUGCAAGUCGAACGCACCGCAAGGUGAGUGGCAGACGGGUGAGUAACACGUGGGGAUCUGCCCAAUGGUACGGAAUAGCUCCGGGAAACUGGAAUUAAUACCGUAUAUGCCCUUCGGGGGAAAGAUUUAUCGCCAUUGGAUGAACCCGCGUCGGAUUAGCUAGUUGGUGAGGUAAAGGCUCACCAAGGCGACGAUCCGUAGCUGGUCUGAGAGGAUGAUCAGCCACACUGGGACUGAGACACGGCCCAGACUCCUACGGGAGGCAGCAGUGGGGAAUAUUGGACAAUGGGCGCAAGCCUGAUCCAGCCAUGCCGCGUGAGUGAUGAAGGCCUUAGGGUUGUAAAGCUCUUUCGCCGACGAAGAUAAUGACGGUAGUCGGAGAAGAAGCCCCGGCUAACUUCGUGCCAGCAGCCGCCGUAA